rnacentral:rRNA from 1 species
UUUAAUUCGAUGAUACGCGAGGAACCUUACCUGGGCUAGAAUGCUGGUGGAUCGUGGGUGAAAGCUCACUUUGUAGCAAUACACCGCCAGUAAGGUGCUGCAUGGCUGUCGUCAGCUCGUGCCGUGAGGUGUUGGGUUAAGUCCCGCAACGAGCGCAACCCCCAUCACUAGUUGCCAUCAGGUAACGCUGGGAACUCUAGUGAAACUGCCGUCGUAAGACGUGAGGAAGGAGGGGAUGAUGUCAAGUCAUCAUGGCCCUUACGUCCAGGGCAACACACGUGCUACAAUGGGCGGUACAGAGGGUUGCUACACAGCGAUGUGAUGCCAAUCCCAAAAAGCCGUUCUCGGUUCGGAUUGGAGUCUGCAACUCGACUCUAUGAAGCUGGAAUCGCUAGUAAUCGCGUAUCAGCUAUGACG